rnacentral:tRNA from 1 species
AGACCCUAUAGUUUAAUGGGAAAACGAAAAUCUCCAAAAUUUUAGUCACCGGUUCGAUUCCGGUUAGGGUCUA